GACUGGCAUGCACCUGUGACUUACAUAAACCAGACCUCUACAUAGCCUACAUGUCUUCAUUUUGCUGAAGACUGCCCAUCAUCCUAGCCUGUUAUCUGUGAUAAAGCACACUGAAGUUAGGUUUGGAAUGCAUCCUUAUCAUGAAUGCUCUACACCUCCACCUCCAUCUCCCACAACCUAGGUAACAGCUUUGAGACUCACUAAAAGUUGGUAAGUUAUGUAAGGAAUUUCUAAAUUAAGUUUUAUACUACAUGUUAUAUGUGAUAUUAAACCACUGUAUGGUGCAUAUUACUGUAUGUAACUUACUAUGCAUAGAGUACUUACUGACAAAAUUAUUUUUUGUACAUUCCAGAACCCCCUGAAUGAUGUAGGCUAUGGGGCCACAUAAGACUUUGUCCAUCCAGGGUUACAUUGAACGACAACUUUAAACUAAAAAACCAACAUUUUUCACACAACUCCAGGUUGUUACUACAAGUGUCAUCAAGGGAUAACUACAAGUAGAAGCACCAUUUUUGGAUGGAAAAAACCCUUCAGGAAAGUAUACGUAUCACAUGUAACAUGUAGUGUAACAAAGUAUGAACAGUAAGGUUUUUACAUACAGUAGUACAUAUUACAUACGUACAUAACUUUU